rnacentral:rRNA from 1 species
GACGAACGCUGGCGGCGUGCCUAAUACAUGCAAGUAGAACGCUGAAGGAGGAGCUUGCUUCUCUGGAUGAGUUGCGAGCGGGUGAGUAACGCGUAGGUAACCUGCCUGGUAGCGGGGGAUAACUAUUGGAAACGAUAGCUAAUACCGCAUAAUAGUAGAUGUUGCAUGACAUUUGCUUAAAAGGUGCAAUUGCAUCACUACCAGAUGGACCUGCGUUGUAUUAGCUAGUUGGUGAGGUAACGGCUCACCAAGGCGACGAUACAUAGCCGACCUGAGAGGGUGAUCGGCCACACUGGGACUGAGACACGGCCCAGACUCCUACGGGAGGCAGCAGUAGGGAAUCUUCGGCAAUGGACGGAAGUCUGACCGAGCAACGCCGCGUGAGUGAAGAAGGUUUUCGGAUCGUAAAGCUCUGUUGUAAGAGAAGAACGAGUGUGAGAGUGGAAAGUUCACACUGUGACGGUAUCUUACCAGAAAGGGACGGCUAACUACGUG